rnacentral:rRNA from 1 species
GGGCCGCAGCUAUUUUGACUGUGCAAAGGUAGCAUAAUCAUUUGUUUUUUAAUUGAAAACUUGUAUGAAUGGUUGAACGAGAAAUAAACUGUCUCUUAUUAAAAAAUUGAAUUUUACUUUUAAGUGAAAAGGCUUAAAUAAUUUUAAGGGACGAUAAGACCCUAUAAAUCUUUAUUAUUAUAUUGGGGUGAUAAAAAUAUAUAAUUAACUAUUUUAAUUUUAAAACAAUUAUUUUUGAUUUUUAAGAUCCUUUAUUAAGAUUAAAAGACAAAGUUACUUUAGGGAUAACAGCGUAAUUUUUUUUAAAAGUCCUUAUUAUAAAAAAAGUUUGCGACCUCGAUGUUGAAUUAAAAUAAUUCCAUAUGGUGCAGCAGUUAUAUUGGAAAGUCUGUUCGACUUUUAAAUUUUU